GGGGUAAUAGCUCAUUUGGUAGAGCGUAUGCUUAGCAUGCAUGAGGCGCUGAGAUCGAAGCUCGGUUGCUCCA
rfam:Paramecium tetraurelia chromosome undetermined scaffold_30, whole genome shotgun sequence.